UUUUUUUUUUUGGAAUUGAUACGUGUUUGUCUCCGUUGCUUCACCGUUUUUUUUUGUCAAAUAGAAUACUUUCAGUUAUCUCCCACCGCCUUUUUCUCCCAUCCACCCCCAAUACUUUCUCUCAUAAACCUUUUGGCUUCCACUACAAAGAUCACUAUGUCGACAACUGCUCUCACCGGUCCAUCUUUCUCUCAGAAAUUCCAGAUUCUUCCACCUCCUUUUCCUUUUUUCUUUUCCAAAUCGAUUCCUCUCAUCUCAAUUCCUUCUUAAACCUCGCUCUCCUAAAUUCCAUCCACUCCUUUUGUUGUUUGUUGCCGACGUUGCUGCACUAUAAGGUAGGUCAGUCAUAGACUCCAAAAGUUUUUCCGGUUUGGGGGUGUUUCUUUCCGAUUCUUCCAAUUUCGUUCCGUCAUUCUCCGACUCCAACUUCGGUCGAUUUUGUCAAUUAUCGUGAUUUGGAGACACUAAUCGAUCCUCUCAUUCUUCCAUGUCGUAUAAUCAGGUUUAUGAUUCCUAUAUCUUCAACUAUGGUAAGGGGUGAGGGACCGGGGUAUAUAGCAUGUGUUUGGUGUGUGUUAAAUUGGGUUAUGAUGCUAUCAAAGUAAGGGUGGGUGGAUGGGCAUUUUUUGUGUGUGUUAAUCAAAGUGAGGUCGGUGGUAAGGUCAUAAGGGUCUAUCAUAGCUUUUAACUUCUUUAACUGUGUUUAUGUUCUCCUUUGUGUUUACUCAGGGUUUUGUUUUUUGACGACUGAGAAUCUAUAAAGUUUUCUUAUUAAUGGAGGUCAAACAAAACACGAAAAGGUUUUCGCUUACAGAAGAACUUUUGAUUGAAAGACUAAAUAAUGUUCGAUAAGAUGAAACAAUUUGUCAAAUUGGUUCGAAUCCUUUGAUUUUCUUUUUCUCUUCAUGAUGCUAAAUAUAGAUACACUACACAUGAUUUCAGGGACAUUCAAUAACAUCAACAAUAAGCUUUGUGUUACUUGUGCCCAAGGAUAAGUUGGAGAAAGAAAAACACUUCAUGCCAUUUGUGUCCAUAGAAAUCAUAUUACAGAACGAUCUCACUCUAAAAAUUCCGAAGGGACAAAAGUACAAUGCUAUUUCACGCUAUAAUGUAUGUGAUUGGUGUGCUGGAACAUGUAACAAGCACCAAAAAACACACAUCCUUUGACAUAAUAUAUUCUGGUCAUUUAACACAAUUUACAAAUUUGAAAAUUUUGAAAAAUAAAUCCAAUAUUGGGUUGCAAUUGUUCUCUAUGUAAGCCUAUAUGCAAGAAAUAAUAAUGUACUUUCAUUAA